ensembl:lncRNA novel transcript, antisense to PROP1
UCAGGUGUGGCCCAUCCAGCCCCUCAGUGUUUUCCUCGGUCCUGGGGAUGCUCAGGUGUGGUCCAUCCAGCCCCUCAGUGUUUCCCUCGGUCCUGAGGAUGCUCAGUCUUCCCACACAGGUUGAGAGAGGAGGGGAUCCAAUUGCCUGUGAGGAGGACACGGCUCCUGGGUGGACCCUGCAGAUUGUGAAGUUCAAGUCACAGCUCCUGGGAAGGUCUCUGUGUGUAAAGAUCGUGGGGGUGAGACAGAUUCAGGGACCACACUCUGCUCUGCUCUGUACCUCUGAGUGUCGAUCCAGCUGCCUUGUGACCAGGACACUUAGAAGAAGCAUGGACCCUGCAAGAGGAUGGGCUCAAGGACAGCUUGCCUGACUGCAGCCAUAAGGAUGAAGCCUCUUCAGGUAGAGAAGGACUCCAGAUUGAAAUGAAAACCACAACAAAACCCAUGACUGGAAGCCAUCCCCGAUAAGCCUUCUGCGGCCAGCUUCCUGUGGUGAGCCUCCCCAUCAAGGGUAACUGCAGCCUCCUUGGAAAUAAAGGAGAUCAGGACUC